UACUUUUUUUUUUUUUUUUUUUUUUUUUUUUUUUUUUUUUUUUUUUUUUUUUCCGCUUAGGGUACACCUUGUUGGCGUGA
rnacentral:ribozyme from 13 species